GAUGAACGCUGGCGGCGUGCCUAAUACAUGCAAGUCGAGCGAACAGACGAGGAGCUUGCUCCUCUGACGUUAGCGGCGGACGGGUGAGUAACACGUGGAUAACCUACCUAUAAGACUGGGAUAACUUCGGGAAACCGGAGCUAAUACCGGAUAAUAUAUUGAACCGCAUGGUUCAAUAGUGAAAGACGGUUUUGCUGUCACUUAUAGAUGGAUCCGCGCCGCAUUAGCUAGUUGGUAAGGUAACGGCUUACCAAGGCAACGAUGCGUAGUCGACCUGAGAGGGUGAUCGGCCACACUGGAACUGAGACACGGUCCAGACUCCUACGGGAGGCAGCAGUAGGGAAUCUUCCGCAAUAGGCGAAAGCCUGACGGAGCAACGCCGCGUGAGUGAUGAAGGUCUUCGGAUCGUAAAACUCUGUUAUUAGGGAAGAACAAAUGUGUAAGUAACUAUGCACGUCUUGACGGUACCUAAUCAGAAAGCCACGGCUAACUACGUG
rnacentral:rRNA from 1 species